UACGGAGGGAGCUAGCGUUAUUCGGAAUUACUGGGCGUAAAGGGCUCGUAGGCGGCCAACUAAGUCAGACGUGAAAUCCCUCGGCUUAACCGGGGAACUGCAUCUGAUACUGGAUGGCUUGAGUUUGGGAGAGGGAUGCGGAAUUCCAGGUGUAGCGGUGAAAUGCGUAGAUAUCUGGAGGAACACCGGUGGCGAAGGCGGCAUCCUGGACCAACACUGACGCUGAGGAGCGAAAGCCAGGGGAGCAAACGGG
rnacentral:rRNA from 1 species